rnacentral:lncRNA from 1 species
CACCAUUCCUUGUUCCGUUCUUCCUUUCGAGCUCCAACCGUGUCUACUCCGUGUCCAUAGCCUCAUAGCCAGACCACCUGUCUCUAAAGUACCUGUGGACAACAAAUACUACAAAGAAACACAUCAAAUGAAGCGAAACGGUUCAAGUGAACAGGUCUAGGCACAUAAUGCCAAGACGCAAAACUACAUGAAAUUGAAGCUCAAACUAGCUAAUAUUCACUUCAAAAGCAUGCAGAAAGGGACAUAUAAUCACUACAAAUCCUAACAUUAUCGAUAGACAUCAAUAUAAUUCUAAUUUACGAAUUAAUAUAUCUUAUCAAUCUUUAAAAACUUGGCAUGCCAUGAAGAAUGCCAAAGCAACAAUGAAUCAAGCUUCAUCCUGAUAUCAAGGGCAACGCCUAUACCGUAACAACUAAGGCAGAAAACUAGUUGAAACAGGAAAUAACCUGAAACAAGCAAACAUUAAAAAUCAAAGGAAAAACUAGGACAAGUGCUCAAUGAUUACGGACAUUUUUUACACUAAAGGAAUUGUCAAAUACAUAAUGCAAACAGAGGUAAGCUACGUACUUAUUAUUAUUAUUAUUAUUAUUAUUUGUGUGUUAAAAGGGUUUCCUAAUUAAUUAAACCAUCAGUCGCUUUUAAAUCAUGUUAGGAAAGAUAACGACAUGGUGCCUAAAUGGUCCAAGGACACGAUUUGAUAUCGAUGAGUGCUACUAUAUAUAUUUUGUCAUUAUCAAUUUUAUUCUUGGAAAUAGGUAGCAUAUAUAAAGAUUGUCAACCGAUGGUCUUGCUGCUUUUAAUCACUGGGUGGGUGGUUAGCUUGUUAACAUCAGGAUUACCAUCCUAAAUAAUAACAACACAAAACAAUUCUUUUUGUUUUAACUUCCUUUUAGUCAUAAUUGUUUGUGGGUCAUUACUGAUUUGAUCACCACAAACAUCAUACGAAAAAUCCUUGUAAAGUGUGUAUACAAAGUAUAUAUAUUAGUUGUAUUCACUUUGAACAAAUCAUGGACAAACCCCAUAUAGAUUGUGUACAAUUUGUAUGAAUUAUACACAAACCCAUGAUUGAUUAGUUUGUAUUAUUUAUAUUUAUAGAUAGAUUUUUUGUGAAGACAAAAAGAUAGCACACAAAGAUCAAAAAUAUCUAAUCAACUUAUGGAGUGAGGAUUACUGGCAAUACUUCGGGGAGAUAUCUAAGGGCUAUGCGAGCCAGCAAUGCGUGACUUCAUUACCUGCCCGCCGUACUAUUUGAAAUGAAUGUCGGAUGCUGGGCUAAUGGUAAUCAAGGCCUUGAGAGUUGCUCCCACUAACAAGAUCGUUGAAGUUCGCUUCUUCAAAAUCAUGUGAUAAAGAUAAAUAUACAUUGAUCCUUCGAACAAACAUACAUAUAAGAUCAAAGAUAUAUCAAGUGACAACAAACUAGUCAGAUAAAAAAAGAUAACAUCACAAAAAGAAACUAAAUAAAAUAAAUCCAUGGUCAACUUGGCCGAAAUCCUUCAACUAAACAGUGGAGAUGAACGGAGGCGGUGAUCACGGCAAGGAAUCGGGCCCUUCCAAAGACGAAAAUCGUUAACCAACAAAUGAAUGUACCUGCUUGGCCAAACCCAAUGAUGGGUUUCCAUCACGACUCUGCAAGCCAGCAUUUGCCUCUCACAAACAAUCGGUAACGUGGAAAUCCAUGCGGAAUAUCCCAUGAAAUGAUGAUAGAAUGGUCAUCGACGCUGGACGGAAGAUAGCCGGAGCGGUUAGGAAGGCAGGAAAAUUAACUGUUCCAGAGAAAAAUUUCUUUGGUGUAAUUAUCAACUAUUAAAUAAUUACUUGUUUAUGGGGGUGGUUAGCUUGUUAACAUCAGG